rnacentral:piRNA from 1 species
UGUCAAGGACGUGGCAAGGUAGCCAGA